AGACGAUAAUAGCAAACCAUUCGAAAGGAUGGGCACGUCCCGAAUGUAGAAACUUCUUAGAAGUUUUACUUCGGGACCCCGAUGAAGUUCUGAGGAUGUAACUUCGUUCGGGGCAAAGCCACGGGCCUAAUUUCCCGAUUAAGGGAAUAUGGCAGCCGGGUUGCCGAA
rnacentral:ncRNA from 1 species